rnacentral:tRNA from 1 species
CUCCCCGUAGUUUAAUGGAUAGAACGCAAGCUUGCGGAGCUUGUAAUGUAGGUUCGACUCCUGCCGGGGAGA